AUGAUCUUUUCUCCUCACUUGCUCUACUCCCCUUCUCCUCUCUCCCUGGACUCACCUCAUGCAUUUGCACUCUGCUAUUACAUCUCCUACCUCCUCCAUUCCUUCUUUCAUACUGUGAUACAUUUCCUCCCUUGCAUAUCAUUUGCUUUCCCAUUCUCUAUCUAUUUCUCCUCACAUUGUGUCCUUGUAAUGUUUCCACUCAUCCUCCUGGUCCUCCAAGUCUUGCACCUCAACUCACAUUCCUCCCUUGUUUUUCCACUGUCUCAUUUACUUCCUCUUUGGCCAAUCCUAUUUCUUCCUAAUGUUUCCAUCACAUUUCAUAGUGCAUCUCUCCUCUGCUUCCUGCCUUCUCCCAUGUUUCCUACUCCCUCCCUCACUGCACAUCUCCUCACCAUAUCCCACCCCUUCAAAGUGCAUCCCUCCUUUGUUUUUGUUUUUUGGUUUUUUUUGGGGGGGGGGGUUUGCUUAUCUAUAGCUAUAUGUAAGGGAGAGAAAAAACUGGCAUCUCGACUGAACUAUGAUCCAAACAGGCAUGAAUGUCUAGAUUCAGGAGAAAAGCCAGUUUAUGCAGGCAAUAUGACAACCCUGUCACCAACACAUACCCUACCUUCUUCACCCACAGAUUCUGUAUCAAUUGAUUCAACCACCCAUUGUUUAAAAAUAUUUGUCAAAACUGAAAAACACAAACCCUGAGUUUGCCACUUUAUAUAAGGGACACCAUUUUACUACACCAUUAUAUUUAAUGGGACUGGGGCAUCCACCAUUUUUGGUAUCUAUUGGGGGUGGUCCUUGAACCAAACCCCAGCAGUUGUUGAAAGCUGAUUGUGUUUUGUUAAAGGGGAAAAUACUAGAAUUUGGUAUAACAUUGAAAAAGAAAUGAAGUACAGAACUUGUGAAUUUGUUUUUCAGAGGCAUGAAUAUAAUGGCUAUAGCCAUUCAUAACUGGCUCAGUCAUAAAAAGUUUCAGUUUUGCCAUUAUGUUUAUUCUUUCUGAAAAUGACUUUCCAAAGGCUACA
rnacentral:lncRNA from 1 species